rnacentral:misc_RNA from 1 species
GAUGAAGAACGUAGUGAAAUGCGAUAAGUAGUGUGAAUUGCAGAAUUCAGUGAAUCAUCGAAUCUUUGAACGCACAUUGCGCCCUUUGGUAUUCCUUAGGGCAUGCCUGUUCGAGCGUCAUUUAAACCUUCAAGCUAAGCUUGGUGUUGGGUGACUGUCCGCUUCACGGCGGACUCGCCUCAAAAUUAUUGGCGGCCGGUACAUUGGCUUCGAGCGCAGCAGAAACGCGAACUCGGGCCCGUCGUAUUGGCUCCCAGAAGCUAUCUUCACAAUUUUGACCUCGGAUCAGGUAGGGAUACCCGCUGAACUUAAGCAUAUCAUAAGCGGAGGA